GGCCUCAUAGCUUAGGUGGUUAGGGUGUCGGCUGUGCUGAAGCCUCUCCCUAGCUACUGCGGGUUCGAAUCCCACCGAGGCCG
rnacentral:tRNA from 1 species